UGACGUUACAGUCAUUUAUUUCCUGGCUC
rnacentral:piRNA from 1 species